UACGUAGGGUGCAAGCGUUGUCCGGAAUCAUUGGGCGUAAAGCGCGCGUAGGUGGCUCUAUAAGUCCGUUGUGAAAGUCAAAGGCUCAACCUUUGAAAGCCGAUGGAUACUGUAGAGCUAGAGUCCGGAAGAGGAGAGUGGAAUUCCUGGUGUAGCGGUGAAAUGCGCAGAUAUCAGGAAGAACACCGAUGGCGAAGGCAGCUCUCUGGGACGGUACUGACGCUGAGACGCGAAAGCGUGGGGAGCGAACAGG
rnacentral:rRNA from 1 species